ensembl:lncRNA
CUCUUCCUGUGUGAGGUAGGGUCGUACUCUACGGAUGUUCCUCUUCCUGUGUGAGGUAGGGUCGUACUCUACGGAUGUUCCUCUUCCUGUGUGAAGUAGGGUCGUACUCUACGGAUGUUCCUCUUCCUGUGUGAGGUAGGGUCGUACUCUACGGAUGUUCCUCUUCCUGUGUGAGGUAGGGUCGUACUCUACGGAUGUUCCUCCUCCUGUGUGAGGUAGGGUCGUACUCUACGGAUGUUCCUCUUCCUGUGUGAGGUAGGGUCGUACUCUACGGAUGUUCCUCUUCCUGUGUGAGGUAGGGUCGUACUCUACGGAUGUUCCUCUUCCUGUGUGAGGUAGGGUCGUACUCUACGGAUGUUCCUCUUCCUGUGUGAGGUAGGGUCGUACUCUACGGAUGUUC